UCUCGGCCUUUUGGCUAAGAUCAAGUGUAG
rnacentral:piRNA from 2 species